UUCAAGAAUUUUUUAAUAAAAAUGAAGUUUGUCUGUUAGUUUAUGUUUUGAUUGUUUCAAUUUCAAAAUUAUUCAGUGUUGUCCAUGUACUAGUUGUUAUAUAAAAAUUGUUGUCCUCUUUACGGUGUCUAGUAGCGACAUUUUAUCCUCCAACCAUUAUACAUAUUUAACUUACUAUUUUUUUUUUAGAUGGCAGUACAGCAGAUCAUUCAAUACACGCUGAGACAUGAAUUCACAUUUCUACCUCUAUGCUAAAUAUCAAUAUCCUACGUUGAAAAUGUACUUGACGAUACUGCUAAUAAUAAUGGUUUUGUGCAACGUGCGUGUAAUGGAUGGCAGUACAGCAGAUCACUCAAUACAUGCUGAGACAUGAAUUCACAUUUCUACCACUAUGCAAAAUAUCAACAUCCUACGUUGAAAAUGUACUAGACGAUACUGCUAAUAAUAAGGGUUUUGUGCAACGUGCGUGUAAUGGAUGGCAGUACUGCAGAUCACCGGAGGCAUGCUGAGACAUGAAUUAGCAUUUCUAUCACUAGGGAAAGUUACAACAUUUUCCGUUGAAAAUGGAAUAGAAGAUGGCAGUAUAUCAGAUCAAUCAAGGCACGCUGAGACACGAAUUCACAUUUCUACCACCAAGGAAAGAAUCAACAUGCUAUGUUGAAAAUGGACUAGAAGAUACUGAUAAUAAUAUUGGAUUUAUGCAAUGUGCGUGCAAUGGUUAUUGAAUAUAAUUGAUUCUAAAUUAAUAGCUGUGAAACAAUUGAGAUUUGUUAAAUAUCUGAAUAAAAUAAUAGUAAACACCUUUA